UAUUAAUAAUUUAAUGCAUUUAUAUUAUUAAAGAUUGGCGUGGUUAAUGGAAUAAUCAAAUAGUGACAUGUAGUGUCCUAUAUGUACCUUAUGUUGAUGUAUAGUGACUAGUUUUUAACAGUAAAAAUUAAUAAUUUUUUUAACA
rnacentral:pre_miRNA from 1 species